rnacentral:lncRNA from 1 species
ACUUCCGCCCAGAGCCCCCAGCCCUGCUGUCAGCCUCUCCAAUCCCAGUGCUGAAGCCCCACACAACCCCCAAGCUACGUGUUUCCUGCUGCAGGGGGUGGUGGUCGAGGGGGCAGUGACCAGGACACUCACCCAGAUCUGGGGUCGGCAGGAAGCCCCAUUGAAUAGGGUGGGUGAGGACUGAGCCAAGUGGCCUCCCCUGGGGAUGGGGCUGCCCACGGAGCCGGGUAAUGACCUCGGCUAGGAGGGCCCAUCGGAUCCAGGCUAGCCCGCUGGUCCAAGGCCAGCCCUGCAGGGCUGUAGCCAAAAGCGUGCUUUGAUGCAGUCAUUCAGCUUCCGGGGGUGGGCUGGGGAUGGCUCAGGCCCGCAGGCCUCAUGGAGAUGGGCGGUGGGGCAGCAGGUGGUGCCCAAGUGGAACCUAUCUGAAGGAGGCUCUGUGGCGCUGGGGAAGGCUGGGCAUGGGGGCAGAGCGGGUUGUGCCUCCCUCUGACCAGGGUUGUAGGGCAACAGAAGUGGGGCCCCAGGGGGAGGUUCUCAGGUCCUGGGGUCCAGGAGGUUCCGACUGUGCCUCCCAGGCUGGGUGAGGCCGAGAGAGACACCUCGGCCUCUCCAUGCCGUAGGGACAGGAAGUCUGGGGUCUAGCCCAGGCUGGCAGACUGGGGGCAGAACCAAGGCCCAUGCAGGGCAGGAAGUGGCCCUAGACUCCAGCGGGGGUGGGGUGGCCUCCCAGGAGCCAUUUCCUCCCUGGAAACAUCCUGCCUGGGCAGCAGGAGGGAAGAGGGCUCCAGCCCCGGCUGGGCAGGAAGGGCCUGGGGCUCAGCAUCCCCUCGGGCAGGGCUCUGGGAGUUCCCAGGAGGGAAUGACCUCAUGGCACGUCUGAGCCUCUGGAGCUGAAAAGCUGGGCUGGGCCUCCCGCCAGCCCCCCACCCAACCUGUCCCCUUGUGCUGGCCUCCCUAGAGUUUCUGGUGCCAUCAGUCCCAUCAUCCUGAGGCCAGGAACUCAAAGCCAGGACCAGCCUGUUUCCCGUAUGAAGCAUGGCCAGCGCCCGUGCCUCCCAGCCAGCACAUGGCCAAUGGAUGAGAGGACAAGGCCUGGAGGGAGGGGCCCUGCAGGCAGUGAGCAACCCACGGAGUCAGCCCAGCUGCCCCUGCUUGGGCCUGGAGGGGGUCAGAGGCUCAGCUCCCACCCCUGUGGCCUAAAUAUAACCUGAGCAGGCGCCUGGCCGGGAAUAGAGACCUCUGUCAGUUCCCAGCAGGUGCUAGUGGGAAGAAGGUCAGCAUGAUUGGCAGGGGUGCCGGUGAGCGAGCAGCCAGACUUGGGUCAUGUGAGUGUCCGGUGGCACGGUCUGAGGGUGGGGCAGUGUGUCCUCACAGGACAGCUGGGUGCCCAGCCUGCCCUGCUCGAGGCAGCCCUGGCCCCUGCCCUUGUCUGUGCCCACGACUGAAUGUGCUGCCAAGCUCCAGGAAGGGGGGCCAGUCCACCACUGGCAGCGUGACUGAGCCCUUGUGCAUGGGUGCAACACUAACUGAUGUCCCUCUGUCCCUUGUCCCGGCAGGGCUCUUCCGUCGCCUCCACCCUCAGGCCCCAUCUUGCUCUGCAUGCUGGUCCUUGCCCCACCCCUCCCACAAAAAAAAAAAAAAAAAAA